CCAGCUCCCUCAGCCUGUCUUGUAGGGGAGGUGCUCCAGCAAUCUGAUCAUCUUUGUGGCCCUCCUCUGGACCCUCUCCAACAGCUCUCUGUCUUUCUUGUACUGGGGACUCCAGACCUGGACACAGUACUCCAGAUGGGGCCUCACAAGAGCAGAGUAGAGAGGGACAAUCACCUCCCUGUCCCUGCUGGCCACCCCUCUCAUGAUGGAGCCCAGGAUACCAUUUGCUUUCCGAGCUGCAAGAGCACACUGCUGGCUCAUGUUAAGUUUGUCAUCCAUCAGGACCCCCAGGUCCUUCUCUGCAGAGCUUCUCUCCAGCAGGUCACCCCCAGAACAAGUCAUGCAUGUAUGCAUGUCGUAAGAAAGAAAUCAACAGCAAUUAUAAAUUCCUCCAAAAGCACUCUCUUUAUGACUAAAAUCAGAAGGGGGGGGGCUUCAAGGGAUUAGUUUCUGUCUACAGGCAAAAGCCUGAGGCUGCGUUCAAUUUUUCCACACUUCAGAACCAUUCCCAUCCUCGUAUAUCUGUUCUGAUUUUGGCACAAGAAGUACUACAUGUGCCUGGUGGGCCUAUUAUCAGUCUAUGUCACAAAAGGAGGUACACAGAAGCAUAUCACAAAUCAGAUGUUCAUCAUACCAUACAUGCUUUAAUUGCAAGGGUCAGGUCUGAGAUCAGCUACCAUUCCAAACAUCCAAAAUUCAGUCUCUCUCACUCAGAAAGUUCAAAAGAAACUUUUCUGUCUUGGAAUUUCAGGAUUUGAGUCUGGAGUCAUGCAGUCCACUACCAAUUAGCCUGACAGCGCUACAUGUAGCAUGCUGUGUUGAAAACAAACAUACACAUUUCUCUAGGUUUAGAACCUCUCUCCCUCAGUCUUGACAGGGUGCACAUCAAGAGGACGUUUUUCUCCCCUGCGUUGGACACAGCAGUGUUCACUUGAUGGGACGUGGCAGAGGCUCAACAGGAGUGCAACCCCCACAUUUAGGAUGGGCUUGAUCUGUCCAUGUGGUCUCGUAACAGGACGUGUUUGUUUGGUCCUAAUUAUGUCUCUUAUUUCUGGGUUAACCCGCCCCAAUUUAGCCUUGCAGACUCAAAUCAGUAAUCAGAAAAACUCAGAAAUAGUGUUUAUUUACAGGCCCAUCUUUAAAAAGCAUAAAAGGCAGCAAAUCACUGAGAUAUCUGUGAUCAUUCCAUUCCAGACAGAGUCAUGUCACCAACUCUAAUCCCAAUUUCAAAUACUUCCUGUUUUCUGUGUCUGUCAACUUGAGUUUCAACAGCUACCUGAUCUGAGGGAGCCUGGGAAAUCUCAGAUAUGAAACCAGGUCGCACUGUAACAUAGUUCAGUAAUUCUGAUCCUAAUGCAAUCCCAACAAGCAUCCCACAGCAUGGACGCCUG
rnacentral:lncRNA from 1 species